rnacentral:rRNA from 1 species
GAUGAACGCUGGCGGCGUGCCUAAUACAUGCAAGUCGAGCGAACAGACGAGGAGCUUGCUCCUCUGACGUUAGCGGCGGACGGGUGAGUAACACGUGGAUAACCUACCUAUAAGACUGGGAUAACUUCGGGAAACCGGAGCUAAUACCGGAUAAUAUAUUGAACCGCAUGGUUCAAUAGUGAAAGACGGUUUUGCUGUCACUUAUAGAUGGAUUCGCGCCGCAUUAGCUAGUUGGUAAGGUAACGGCUUACCAAGGCAACGAUGCGUAGCCGACCUGAGAGGGUGAUCGGCCACACUGGAACGGAGGCACGGUCCAGACUCCUACGGGAGGCCGCAGUAGGGAAUCGUCCGCAAUGGGCGAAAGCCUGACGGAGCAACGCCGCGUGAGUGAUGAAGGUCUUCGGAUCGUAAAACUCUGUUAUUAGGGAAGAACAAAUGUGUAAGUAACUAUGCACGUCUUGACGGUACCUAAUCAGAAAGCAACGGCUAACUACGUG